UCCUGGAGAAACUGCAAGUUCUAAGGGUCUCAUAGAUGUGGAAGAUGGUAGUGUAGCGGCAGAUCUGCCCAAUCUAGGUGCGUGUGCACACGUGGGAAGCACAUUCCCCAAGCUGUCUCCUCGGCCAGCCUGGACUCCCCAGGAUGUCUGCUCCAAGUACGAAUGUGUAGAGAGGGAGAGUUCAUGAUUGCAGAAAAGGGAAGAGCAGAAGGGACAAUGGGUCUACACAAACUCCCACCCCACGGAGGACACAGCCUUGCAAACCAGCACCCGUGCAGAACACAGCACACCCAGGAAACUCACUUCUGACAGAAGAGCUGCCCACAGUUCCUGCAAUGGUGCCUCCUCUCUGUGAGGGAGAAGCGUACGGAGCAUCCCGAGCAGCUGUCGCCGCCUUCAUCCUUCACCCAGUGGUCAGCGGCAGAACGACCAGGCUGGUCACUCACAGACCAGCUGAACACUCGGCCUCGACUGUCACCCACGAGGAUCCUGCUGUGAUCCCUGUGCAAAACAUGAGAAAGCCUCUGGUCCAGGGCUCGGGGUGUUCAGAAGGAGCCCCAUUCCCUCCAAGGAUGUUAAAGGAGAAAAAAUUAAAACUGAACCUGAAUUUUUCCCCCCA
ensembl:antisense Gm20548 predicted gene 20548